AUGAACUGGAAUCCAAGAUUCCUAACAGCUUUCAUCAAGGUUUGCUUGGCAUGGUUGUUGGUGCCAGAUGGGCUGGUUUGAGUAUUUCUGAAGAGAAAACGCCGAUCUCCUGGGAUUUUCACACACAACAGGCUCUAGAGUUUACACAGCAUGGUGUGGAAAAACAACCAAAAACAACCCCAGAACAUCCAGUGAGACGGCCACAUUGGGUAUCGAUCCUGUAAGCCGAGAAAAGGAAUCCGAGGCUAUCAUGGCCACUGAAUCUGGACAGGUAAAGAUGGGGGAAAGAUCGAGCGAGGUUUUUUAGCUGUUUCGGAAAUACUCAAACCUGCUUUUCGGGCACCAACAACCAACGAUGUUUUUCCUCCAUUCUGUUGUCUGAAGCUCUUGACCUGUAUACUGUAUAUGUAUGACCGCAUAAUUGCAAGAAUGAGGUUAAAGUGAGUGUAGAUAUAAAGAGGAGACAUAUCGGAGGCUUGACACAGAACCACGUGGUUCUCCAUGUUGCACAUUGCCCCAGGCUUGUCAUUAACCUUCUUUGAAAUCAAUAAUCUGGUGUGUUCUCCGGAUAAGUCAUGUGCACAGCUUGCUAAUACUGUUCAGUGAAUGACGCUUCGUUUUGUGUGAGGACACGGAUGCAGAGCCAGACACCAGCCAGUCCAAACCUUGUUCCUUACCCAUGUCAUAUCAGUAGACGCAGAUGCGAGCUGACUUUUCUGGAGCAGAGAGAUAGGAUAGCAGAUGUCAUGGGUUUUUCCUUUACAGCCCAGAAUUCCUCCUUGUGAAUCAUGUAUGCCGAGUCGAGGAAGGCAAGGAAUCACAAUGAUGUCCUGAUAUGAAAGUGUUGAAUUACUGAACGUAUUCAGCUCUGGGUAGAAAUAAUAAACCGUGCUUUCUUAUUUAGUCCUUGCUAUGCUGGGUAAUGUUGUACGGAAAUAGCUCUCCCAUCAUCCUUUGUCGUUAGAACGAGACGCUGAUAGGGGUUUUUGUGUUUUUGUGUGGCAGCACACAUACAUUUAUAGAUUUGAUUUUAUUUCUCCUCACUGGUUUGAUUAGCGGACUGACGACAUGGCUCGAUUUAACGACUUGAUGACGGAAACGGAACGUUCAGAGACAAAUGGACAGAGAAGUACACGUUUAUUCUCCUCACGUACAAGUUCAUAUAUACACGCUGUAUAUUUUUAAUCUAUUCUAGUCAAAAGUGUUUUAUUGUAUUCAUAGCCAGACAUGUACGAUUUAAAAGGUAAACGGUUGCCAUGUUAGUCGUAAAAGAUUCGUAGUUGUAAAAGAUCUGUAAUGUAAAAGAUCCGUAUUGUAAAAGAUGCGUAGUUGUAAAAGAUUCGUAGUUGUAAAAGAUGCGUAGUUGUAAAAGAUCCGUAGUUUGUAAAAGAUUCGUAGUUGUAAAAGAUUCGUAGUUAUAAAAGAUGCGUAGUUGUAAAAGAUCCGUAGUGUAAAAGGUACGUAGUUGUAAAAGAUUCGUAUUUGUAAAAGAAUCGCAGUUGUAAAAGAUUUGUUGUUGUAAAAGAUUCCUAGUUGUAAAAGAUUUGUAGUUGUAAAAGAUUAGUUUUGUGUAGCUUACAUUUUAUGUAACCGCAUGUCACAAACUGGGAUUGUUUUUUUUUCGCCGUUUAUCACACAAGCUAGCAUUUUAAAUUCAUAAACGUGAAUCAAAGUGGGUAAACUCAUUGCAUUUGAUAAAGAUUCAGAAUCAAAAAGGGCAAUGCUUUUAGUAUUGAGUGUUGUUUAACUUGGUUGUACAUAGAUUGCUUAAUUGCUUAACCGUGAGUCAUCUGUGCACAGGUGAAAUUUUAUGUGACACAAAUUUGGAUGAACAAAAUUGAAUUGGUUGAAUUUGAUUCAUUGAAUCGACUCGGUAAUUUUUUUUUUAAUGAUUCGCUUAGGGUGAACAGUAGCUGGUAAGUGUUUUUUCUUGAUUUUUAGUUGAAACUAGUUUUAGCAUCGGCUGUCAGAUAGAAGCUGUAACUGCGUUCCUUGUUGCUACGAGUUGUUUACACGUUGCUAGAUUAGAGCUAAUUCACACGAUUACACUUUGUUUUGCUAAUUAAAGAGGCAUGCUCAGGUGUGAAGCACCCCCACUACAGUACUUGAGAACUAGGAAACGCUGAGGCGGAAACGUCAGCCCUCACAUGAAGCCUUCUUCGUGUGAAGCCCGAGCUCGUGUAAAGACCUGCGAGUCUACCUGCACGAGUCCACCGUAAAGACACCACUCACGCUGCUAAGUAUCACUUUCUCCCUCUCUCCACCUUGUCCUCC
ensembl:lncRNA